rnacentral:rRNA from 1 species
AUAUCAUUAGGGGAAGGAAAAGAAAUCAACGGAGAUUCCCCUAGUAACUGCGAGUGAAGAGGGAAUAGCCCACGCCGAAUCCCCCUUGGGUAACUCCAUUGGGGAGCUGUAGCGUAUCAACCUGAUCAGACAAACUGAAGCCAGCAGAAAUUAGUUGGAAGACUAUGCCACAGAGGGUGAUAGCCCCGUACGCUGGUUGAUGGGAGUCAUAAUGGUCAGGAUUGUUGAGUCGGACUAUUUGAGAGUAUAGUCCUAAGCGGGUGGUAAAUUCCAUCCAAGGCUAAAUACAAAAGAAGAGACCGAUAGCGCACAAGUA